GAUGAACGCUGGCGGCGUGCCUAAUACAUGCAAGUCGAGCGGCAACACGGUCUUCGGACUGGUGGCGAGCGGCGGACGGCUGAGUAACGCGUAGGAACAUACCCCAAAGUGAGGGAUAAGCACCAGAAAUGGUGUCUAAUACCGCAUGUGGUCUUCGGAUUAAAGCUUUAUGUGCUUUGGGAGUGGCCUGCGUAAGAUUAGCUUGUUGGUGAGGUAAUAGCUCACCAAGGCGACGAUCUUUAGCUGGUCUGAGAGGAUGAUCAGCCAGACUGGGACUGAGAACGGCCCAGACUCCUACGGGAGGCAGCAGUAGGGAAUUUUCCACAAUGGGCGAAAGCCUGAUGGAGCAACGCCGCGUGCAGGAUGAAGGCCUUCGGGUUGUAAACUGCUUUUAUAUGUGACGAAUAUGACGGUAGCAUAUGAAUAAGGAUCGGCUAACUCCGUGCCAGCCGCCGCAGUAA
rnacentral:rRNA from 1 species